UUCAGCCUAAACACCCUAAAGGCACCAGAUCACAUCUGAUUUUGGAAGCUAAGAAGGGUUAACUCUGGUUCGUACUUGGAUGAAAGACCACUAACAAAUACCAGAUGGAUCUACACUGAAC
rnacentral:rRNA from 11 species